CCAGCCCCAGACUCUCCUGGUCCCCACCUGCCCGUUCUUGCAGAGAUCUGCCCACAUGCUGGUGCCAUCCCCUCCUCGCAUCAGGACGUGCACACAGAGAGACAGCACUCAAUACUGGACAGAUCCCUGGAUUUCAAGUCAAGAGACUGAUGUCCAACUUCCUGCUCAACCACUUAGUGGCUGUGGGACCUUGGGAGCUGUUGGAAGAGACAUCUCUCCUCUCUGACCGCCCUUCCCUUUUCAGCCAG